rnacentral:rRNA from 1 species
AGUGAACGCUGGCGGUAGGCCUAACACAUGCAAGUCGAACGGCAGCACAGUAAGAGCUUGCUCUUACGGGUGGCGAGUGGCGGACGGGUGAGGAAUACAUCGGAAUCUACUUUUUCGUGGGGGAUAACGUAGGGAAACUUACGCUAAUACCGCAUACGACCAACGGGUGAAAGCAGGGGAUCUUCGGACCUUGCCCGAUUGAAUGAGCCGAUGUCGGAUUAGCUAGUUGGCGGGGUAACGGCCCACCAAGGCGACGAUCCGUAGCUGGUCUGAGAGGAUGAUCAGCCACACUGGAACUGAGACACGGUCCAGACUCCUACGGGAGGCAGCAGUGGGGAAUAUUGCACAAUGGGCGCAAGCCUGAUGCAGCCAUGCCGCGUGGGUGAAGAAGGCCUUCGGGUUGUAAAGCCCUUUUGUUGGGGAGGAAAAGCAGCAGGUUAAUACCCCGCUGUUCUGACGGUACCCAAAGAAUAAGCACCGGCUAACUUCGUG